CCAACGGCCCUCUUUAGGGCCACCAAUAUACUUGUGUUUUUAGUAU
rfam:Strongyloides venezuelensis genome assembly, scaffold: SVE_scaffold0000016